GCCUUCGUGGUGUAAUAGUCAGCACACUGAGCCGGCAAUUCAGAGGUUCGUGGUUCGAUCCUCGGAGGAAGCG
rfam:Stegodyphus mimosarum contig3161, whole genome shotgun sequence.